ACAAAAUAUAACAAAAAGUGAACUCUUUUAAAAACAUAUUUCAGUCAUAUAAACACAGUUGGUGCAAAACAAGCAAACAAUAAAAACAGUACCUUGUUUCAAAACUGUAUUAACAAUUUAGAAUUACAAUAAUUUCAAACUAUAUGUUGUUCAAUACACUAUUUUGUCCUUUAAGGCUUAUCUAUCAUUAUCACUUGACUUUGGGUGCAUAAAAUUUUUUUAAAAGCAGGGACAAAAAUUAUGAUAGAAAUCUUAUGUAAUUUUUUUAAAGCCAUAUCACAUUUCUGCAAUUUUAAGAAGGACUUUUCUGCAAAAGUACAAAUUCAUGUUCUGCAAUUUACUUGAUUAAUUCAGGAUGACAGGUAAAUACAAAUGUGGUCACCAAGUCUUCUCCUAUUCAGCAAUGAUCAUGCAUAAGAAAGACAUACAUCUGACUGUUUGGGGUGUAUAAAUAUAAUACCUCAAGAUUAUGCCCUGAUCUCAUGUAGGGAUAGUAUUGCACACUUUGUACUUUAAGGAACUCUUCAAACAACUCUUUGUGGUUUGUUACUUGGCAGAUUUGACCAUAAUUAUUGUUUUAAGUUUAGAUACUAAUGCCCAACUCUCAUGAGAAUUACAGUAGGAGCUACAACAUGCAAUUACAGUAGAAAUAUUAUAAUGAAAUAUGCACAAACAUAGAAUGUAAGUAAUAAUUACCCUAAUACUGCAAAAUUACCUUUGGCUUAUAAAUAUAAAGAUUGUCAUACUUAUUCUGACUUUGAUAAACUGACAGACAAUAUCCCUUUAAUGGCUUUAUCAAAGUUUUUGUGCUAUAUUUCUAUUACAUUCAAAUAGUUAUUUACACAACUACAUUAAAACUUUGACUUCAUUAAAAAUUUUGUUCCCAUAUGUAAAUAAGAAGAUGUGGUCUGAUUGCCUUAGAGAAAUAUAUCUACCAGUUACCAAAUGACAUAAAUUUAAGCAAAUAUAGGUCACCAUAAGGUCUUUUUACAUGAUCCUUAUAUAUUUCAAUAGUUGAUUUAAUAGACAUUUUUACAACCAAAUUGUGAUACAUUAAGUAAAAUAAUUUGACUUUCGUAAACAAUGUACUAGACGACAAAAUAUUGUAUAAAAAAUGUCGAUAUAAAUCUAUUAGUG
rnacentral:lncRNA from 1 species